UACGUAAACUGAGAUUCAAUUGGCACAUGCGUGCGGAUUUGUGCAAAACAAACGAGAACUUGGGAGGUUGUAUCCUUUUAACAAAAAAAAAUGAAUUUCAGCACCCAGCGGAAAAACCGCAGUUGUAUAGGACAUGGCUGAGGUUCGCUACCAUUCACUCCCCCCUCCUCCCGUGGUUUGUACGAGAAUGUACUGGUCUAACAAACGUGACACAUGGAAACUCCCAUACCAGCCCAUGCUUACACCAAAUCCAAUGCUCCAAUUAAUCCAUGAGGGACUCUCCUACUGUCGCCGUGGGGAUCCGUCUGUCCAUUACCCUGUGAUCUCGGGCUCUAUCAUACUGCGACACACACCAGUGCUGGCAUAUUGCUCAUGCAUAAAGCAGACUCCCACCCACACAACCACUGUGCCAUGGGGUAUGAGCUUUAGAUCCGAGCGGACAGUGCCCCAGGGUCUGUCGUUCUAUAGUCUCCCGUUAAAAUAAGAACAGGGUCACGGCUCUGUCUCCCCAUGUGUCACCUCUCUGCUGUCUUUACAUAAUAAUAAUAAUACAAGUAAAAUGGUGGCAUGUUUAUCAAAUUUAAGGUCUGUUUUGUCGCUAAUGGUGACUGUGACAAAUGGAAUGAGAUGGGGGCAACGCCAGCUAAAGGACAUCAGUUAAGUGCUUUUGUGACCUUGCAUGAAACCUGAGGAUUUCUGGUUUUGCCAGAGUUAACACCUCGGCUUUAGCUCAAAAGGCUAACAGAGUUUUGAGUUGUACUGACAGCCCAUGGAAUUCUGCCUAAUAACCCAGAACUCGUGUUCGCGCCUAGAGAUGACACCGAGGGUUUAACCAGUACCUAUAAUCUGGUUCAGGUUAUUAAUCAACCUACCAGGGUGUUUACAAACACCACAGGAACAAGAUCAACCACAUGUAUCGAUCACAUUUUUACUAAUACUGCAGAACCUUGUUCUGAAGCUGUAUCCAUACCCGUUGGAUGCAGGGAUCACAAUAUUGUGGCACCACACUCCAAAAAGCAAGUGCUGCAGGCCCUAGUUUUGUCUUAUCUUGAUUCUUGUCCAGUCGUGUGGUCCAGUGCUUAGAGGAAAGUCCUAGUUAAGCUGCAGCUGGAUACUAUCACGCCUUACCUCUGCUAUUAUUACUAUACAGGACACUAUCACGCCUUACCUCUGCUAUUAUUACUAUACAGGACACCAUCACGCCUUACCUCUGCUAUUAUUACUAUACAGGACACUAUCACGCCUUACCUCUGCUAUUAUUACUAUACAGGACACCAUCACGCCUUACCUCUGCUAUUAUUACUAUACAGGACACUAUCACGCCUUACCUCUGCUAUUAUUACUAUACAGGACAGUAUCACGCCUUACCUCUGCUAUUAUUACUAUA